CUAUCUAGCAUCCUCUGGAAGAUGCUGCAACCCUCGUGAGCUGUGGAAUUUCAGAGUAUUGCACCUUGGAGGUUGUUGGCAGGCUUCUGGGAGGUAAGGUCCACGGUUUUCUGGCUCGUGUUGGAAAAGUACGGGGACAGACACCAAAGGUGGACAAGCAGGAGAAGAAGAAAAAGAAGACAGGCCGUGCUA